rnacentral:rRNA from 1 species
GUGAGGAAUAUUGCGCAAUGGAGGCAACUCUGACGCAGCCAUGCCGCGUGCAGGAAGAAGGCGCUACGCGUUGUAAACUGCUUUUAACCGGGAAGAAACCCCAGGACGUGUCCUGGGUUGACGGUACCGGAGGAAUAAGCACCGGCUAACUUCGUGCCAGCAGCCGCGGUAAUACGAAGGGUGCAAGCGUUAUCCGGAUUCAUUGGGUUUAAAGGGUGCGUAGGCGGAGCGUUAAGUCAGUGGUGAAAUCCUGCAGCUUAACUGUAGACUUGCCAUUGAUACUGGCGCUCUUGAGUGCGCUUGAAGUGGGCGGAAUGUGCCGUGUAGCGGUGAAAUGCUUAGAUAUGGCACAGAACACGAAUUGCGAAGGCAGCUCACUAAGGCGAUACUGACGCUGAGGCACGAAAGCGUGGGGAUCGAACAGGAUUAGAAACCCCAGUAGUCC